GAUGAACGCGGGCGGCGUGCCUAAAUACAUGCAAGUAGAACGCUGAAGCUUGGUGCUUGCACCGAGCGGAUGAGUUGCGAACGGGUGAGUAACGCGUAGGUAACCUGCCUCUUAGCGGGGGAUAACUAUUGGAAACGAUAGCUAAUACCGCAUAAAAGACGAUAUCGCAUGAUAUUGAUUUGAAAGGUGCAAAUGCAUCACUAAGAGAUGGACCUGCGUUGUAUUAGCUAGUUGGUGAGGUAACGGCUCACCAAGGCGACGAUACAUAGCCGACCUGAGAGGGUGAUCGGCCACACUGGGACUGAGACACGGCCCAGACUCCUACGGGAGGCAGCAGUAGGGAAUCUUCGGCAAUGGGGGCAACCCUGACCGAGCAACGCCGCGUGAGUGAAGAAGGUUUUCGGAUCGUAAAGCUCUGUUGUAAGAGAAGAACGAGUGUGAGAGUGGAAAGUUCACACUGUGACGGUAACUUACCAGAAAGGGACGGCUAACUACGUGCCAGCAGCCGCGGUAAUACGUAGGUCCCGAGCGUUAUCCGGAUUUAUUGGGCGUAAAGCGAGCGCAGGCGGUUAGAUAAGUCUGAAGUUAAAGGCUGUGGCUUAACCAUAGUACGCUUUGGAAACUGUUUAACUUGAGUGCAGAAGGGGAGAGUGGAAUUCCAUGUGUAGCGGUGAAAUGCGUAGAUAUAUGGAGGAACACCGGUGGCGAAAGCGGCUCUCUGGUCUGUAACUGACGCUGAGGCUCGAAAGCGUGGGGAGCAAACAGG
rnacentral:rRNA from 1 species